UCCCUAUGCCUGGCACCUCCCGAA
rnacentral:piRNA from 1 species